UGAAGGUGCAGCUGCAGUUG
rnacentral:misc_RNA from 1 species